UCCUUAUUUCUAAGGCAGUCCCGCUAGAGUGCUCCCGAAGGAUAGCAACUAACGGCAGGGGUUGCGCUCGUUAAAGGACUUAACCCAACAUCUCACGACACGAGCUGACGACAGCCAUGCAGCACCUGUUUACAUGUCUUAGUUACCCAAGAAAGGGAUAUCUCUACCCCGGUCAUGUAUAUGUCAAGCCCAGGUAAGGUUCCUCGCGUAGUGUCGAAUUAAACCACAUGUUCCACCGCUUGUGCGGACCCCCGUCAAUUUCUUUGAGUUUUAGUCUUGCGACCGUAAUCCCCAGGCGGAUCACUUAUCGCGUUAGCUACGACACCGGAACCCUCUAGGAGUCCCGACAUCCAGUGAUCAUCGUUUACGGCGUGGACUAC
rnacentral:misc_RNA from 1 species